GGCCUCGUGGCCAAAUGGUAAGGCGCCAGAUUUCGGCUCUGGAGAUUGCGCGUUCGAGCCGCGUCGAGGUCG